rnacentral:lncRNA from 1 species
AUUCAGUUGGGGAAUAUGAAGUUAGUAAAUUUGAAUUUAUUCCACAGGUUCGGUGAUAACUCAAGUGUAACAAUUCAUCUUAACCAAUGUAGGGGAAUAAUAAGUCAAAACAGCCUAACAAGUGUGGAAGAUGUGGAGGUGUAGGUCACAAUCGGGUUACGUGUACCAACCCACUUGGUUGACGCUAUGGAAUGUAAGAAAGAUGUGUAAUGCCUUUUUGGGAGUUUGUCUUAUCAAUGGAGGAGGAUUUUGGCAGGGGUCGUUUUUUGGUAUGUUAAAAUGUAUU